UGGGGAAUAUUGGACAAUGGGGGCAACCCUGAUCCAGCAAUGCCGCGUGUGUGAAGAAGGUCUUCGGAUUGUAAAGCACUUUCGACGGGGACGAUGAUGACGGUACCCGUAGAAGAAGCCCCGGCUAACUUCGUGCCAGCAGCCGCGGUAAUACGAAGGGGGCUAGCGUUGCUCGGAAUGACUGGGCGUAAAGGGCGUGUAGGCGGUUUACACAGUCAGAUGUGAAAUCCCCGGGCUUAACCUGGGAGCUGCAUUUGAUACGUGUAGACUAGAGUGUGAGAGAGGGUUGUGGAAUUCCCAGUGUAGAGGUGAAAUUCGUAGAUAUUGGGAAGAACACCGGUGGCGAAGGCGGCAACCUGGCUCAUGACUGACGCUGAGGCGCGAAAGCGUGGGGAGCAAACAGGAUUAGAUACCCUGGUAGUCCACGCUGUAAACGAUGUGUGCUAGAUGUUGGGUAACUUUGUUAUUCAGUGUCGCAGUUAACGCGUUAAGCACACCGCCUG
rnacentral:rRNA from 1 species